CGGGGCGUGGCGCAGCCUGGUUAGCGCGCCUGCCUUGGGAUCAGGAGGUCGCAGGUUCAAAUCCUGCCGCCCCGACCA
rnacentral:tRNA from 1 species